GCUCUGUAGCUCAAUGGUAGAGCCCAUUCUUCGCCUGCGGAAGGUCACAGGUUCGAUCCCUGGGAUCUCCA